GAAUCAACGCUGGCGGCAUGCCUAACACAUGCAAGUCGAACGCGGUUAGUAGCAAUACUAACUGAGUGGCGAACGGGUGAGUAACGCGUGGGUGACCUACCUCCGAGUGGGGGAUAACGUCCCGAAAGGGACGCUAAUACCGCAUGACAUCCUGCCCUUGAACGGGUGGAGAUCAAAGCUGGGGAUCGCAAGACCCGGCGCUUGAAGAGGGGCCCGCGUCCGAUUAGCUAGUUGGUGAGGUAACGGCUCACCAAGGCGACGAUCGGUAUCCGGCCUGAGAGGGCGGACGGACACAUUGGGACUGAGAACACGGCCGAGAUUCG
rnacentral:rRNA from 1 species